UCAGACAAGCUGACAGGCAGAGAGGACUCAGUUCAUUCUGUCACAGAACCGCCAGAAGAUGUUGAGAUCACAGAUGGAGUGACGGUGACGGAGCGUGUGGUGAUAUUCAGUGGUGUUGGACUUGCUGUGUUUCUGUUUUUUCUGACUACAGUCGUCACAGGAGGAAUCAUUCACUAUAACGGCUGGCGGAAAGGAUGGGCCGCAGCCAAACGUGCUGGUCUGACUGAUCAAAAAUCAGCUAAAUGACACAUUUGUGCGCUUUAUUUUACACUCUAUCCCAAUAGUCAGCAAUUUUGUAUGUACAAACAUUCUUAAAUUAUGGUACAUUUACUGGAGGAGCAAAAUGACAUUUAUUAAAGGGUUAGUUCACCCAAAAAUGAGAUUUCUGUCAUUAAUUACUCACCCUCUGUGCAAAAACAAAACAAAAAUAAUGACUUUAUUCAACAAUUUCAUCUCUUCCCUGUCAUUCUCAUACACUGUUUAUGUUGUAGACUCAGUGCAGCGCUUCCAGGUUCUACAUCAGAACACUGUCUUAGUAUAGAGGAUAUGCACUUUCCCACUGAAACACGACCCUCAGCCGGACUGAGAGGCAAAAGAGCUGCUGCAUGACUGGAUUAUAUAGGGAAA